rnacentral:lncRNA from 1 species
GGACUCUUAAUUCUCCUUUAUUUCCAUGCUUUUUCUUCCCUCCACUGGCCAUAUGAUGGCUUCUAGAAAAUUGUUGGCCUAGGAGUGGAGGAGUCCUUCUGCUUGAAGGCUCUUUCACACCCAAAACUUCUAUAUAAAGAAUUUUAUCUUUAUGGGAAGUAAUGGGACGUCGCUUGGGAUAUUGUUGCGCCAAAUAUUGUUUCAUCUCCCUAAUUACCUCAUAAUUCUUACACGCCAAUUUUUAUGGGACAU